rnacentral:misc_RNA from 1 species
CUCCCUUCUCCUUUAGUGGAGUUUGGAGCAUUCUCUGCUAUAGAACAAUCAGUUUAUUCUCCUUCAGAGAUGUGUGAAUUCGGAGCAAAUCCUCUAUCUGAAAGGUCUCCUACUAGACCGUCUUGUGGAGGAUAUACAGCUGAUGACUCGGAGGAGAACAUUGGAGUGCCGCAGCCUCUUGCGAGUUUACAGGAGAAUCCAAUACCGCCGUUUCUGUCGAAAACUUAUGAUCUCGUGAAUGAUCAGACGCUGGACCCCAUUAUCUCGUGGGGAAACACGGGGG